ensembl:lncRNA
GUGGGUAAUAAAAUACCUGGUACAUGUGGAUAAUCAAUACUAAGCCUCUCUCUUUCCUUUUUUCUUCCUUUCCUUCUUUUUCCUUUUGUUUUGUUUUGUUCUGUUUGGACAGCUCAGCUCUGUAAUCAUCACUAAGAUUUUUAGGAAGGUGGGGAAAGUGGGAUAAUACCAAGAUGCAUUACGUGCAAAACCACAUAGAGAACAAGAGACAUAAAGGAAGACAGCAAAUUCUUUUUGCGUGGAUGAAAUCAUGAGUUUCUCCCUGGGAUCUUCCACAUCUCCUUUGAUCAGUCUUCCCAGACCUAACCCUGAAAUGUGCCAACAGGUCUGGUCCAAGUUAGUAAGAAGAAUUUCACUGAUGUUGGAGUGAGAAGUUGGUACUGUUGAAGUAAAUUUCACCAUUCUUUCCAACUAACCUUCAUUGGAAAGAAUACAAACCAAACCAGCUGCCCUCUAGCCUGGGAAAUCCCCAUUGAACAUCUCCGUUGGAAAAUUCCUGCAUCAGGACCAUUUAAUACAAGGAGAUUUGAAAAACACUGGUUUUACCUGGGCUUUGGGUGGACAAUGCAUUCCCUAGAGUGCAGAAUCCUUAGUGAAAACUGACAGAAAAUAGAGUGAGGUAAAAAUUAGUAUUUUUCUUAUCCCAUCCAUAUAUAUAUACUAAGUAUAUUUUUGAGUGAUACUACUACUAAGAGAUAAAAAGACUUUACAGUGUCCUGUGAGAUGUUAAGGUGGAGCACUCUUGUGAGAGCAAGGAAAUGAGUUGGAAGGGGGCAGGUUCUACCUCGUUUUGCUGACCAUGUUGAAGAAGGGGCAGGAACUAAAGCAUACAUUAUUGUCUAUACUUACUUUCAGUUUUGUUGGUAUUGCCAUAUUUAUCAUCAGUUACAAAACUGACAUGUUUAUGAGGUAAAUAAGUAUUUUCUUUAGGAAUAUUUUCUCCCCUCCAUGUUGAAACAUUUUAGAUGAACAAAAUAAUGAAGAAAAAAACCCAAGGUCAUGGGGUGAUUUUUGUUUAGUUUUGUUGGUUUUUUUUCUUUUUCCCAGCCAUAUACUUUCAUAGUCACUGUUGGCAAUUCUAGCUUACUGACAUUAGAGCUGUUUAGUAAAUGCCUUUAAUUUCUUUCCCAGUGAGAGUCAGUCAUCUUCCAACCAAAAUCCUCCUUACAAAUAUGGUGUGAUAGCUCAUAGCUAGUAUAUCUCUUACUUUGUGCCUGAUUAUGAGGUAGGGAUUAGGAACUAGUUAUGUUCAAGACUGUGAUACGUUUUUAAGCUUCUUGGUUGUCAUUCUCUAUUUUUCAGACCCACUGCAAGUAUCUUCUAAGAGCACUGGAAAUUGCACCGUGCUGCAGAGGACAGGGAUAGAUAUAGAUGCACAGCUGUUGCAAAAACAUAACCAUACCCCUAACAUGUGGCUUUGUAAGGAGCAUUGUGAACAUCAGCCUUGACUUUAAAAUAUGUUGUUGCUUUGGCACUGGUGGUGUGAUAAACAAGAUAAACAUUUUGUCAUUUCUUAUAAAUACCCACAGGACUUGCAUGGCUUCUUGUUGGUUGACAUAUCAACCCUUCACUAAAUACAACAAAGAUAACCUAAUGGGUACAUCACUUAAAAUAAGUUGAGCUUAAGUGUCCUGGUUAAUAAAGCUUUGUGUGAAUUCUGUCUAAUUCAAGCAAUUUCAGCAAAAAGCAUAGCAAGUAGCCAAGCUGGGAUAAAAAUGUUUUUGUUUCACCACUUUCAUCCUCAUAACAUCCUUCACAGACACUAUAACAGUAUUUUAGUCUUUAGAAGAAUGUCUAACAACAUGAUUGUCUCAACACCAGGCAUGAUCCCAGUGGAAAUUAAAAUUGCAUGCAUUUUCUCAUCACUCUUUAUUUAACAACCGGGAGACUUUUAAUAUUUGAAACUCAGCAAGAAAAUUGUCUUGAAACACAGAGAUUCCUUUGGGGUAAUUUCACUUUUGUUUUCUAUGAACUUCAGCUGAGCAUUUUUUUUUUCACUGUAAUACAGAUCCAUGAAUUGUAUGAUGGUUAACAGGACUUUCUGUAUGUGCUUCUCAGCUAACAUAUAGGGAAAAAUAACAAAGAACAUUCUAAUAACAUCACUUGAGUUAGCUAGCUUUACUAAUAAAGAUAUCCUGUUUCACUUUCCUUCACAGUUUCUUUUAAACACCUUUUUGGAGGCUGUGUGAGUAAAUGCAAAAAGUCACUAUCUGCCCAAAAGGCAAUGCAGUUGUAGCGCUUCUUGAAUAUUCACAAUAACAUCAGGCAGAAGAUGGUGAAAGAAUAAACAGAACUCUGCUAUGAGUAUUUGAUGGCUGGAACAAGUGAAGGCAGGAAAAAUACUUUAGAUUCUAACAUCAACUAAGAUUACAACAUCCUAUCCAGAGCUGUGUUUGAUGGAAAGAGCAAAAGUUGUUUCUAAGAACAGAAGACGUCAGAGAAAAAUAUACAGACUUCUGCUUUGUUUACAUGGAGAAUCUUUGAAAAGCUUUUGCACUGUUAUUUCCCCAGCUCACUGUAGGCUAAGACAGCAGAGUAUGUCAGGCUAGGAGACAAAAUAACAUUUUUGUAUUGCUGACAAGAAGUAGGACACUAUCCUUGCUGUAAUGUCAGUAAGGAGUGUUUUUUAUAUAACUAAGUGUAUACUUGGCCCCAGCGCCAGUCAGUUAACAAACGUGUUACUUGGUUCUGUUGAGGACACUGAUUUUUCUUUCUUUUCUUUUUCUUUUCUUUUCUUCCCGUAAGAAGGCAUUUGGCAUGUCCAAAAAAUUUUGCCUUGAUGGGGCUUAGUAAUGCAGUUUGCUUGGCUCAGAGCAGUAGUAUCCAGAAACUGAUGGCUGGUUGGUAUUCUGCAAAAAUAACAUUAAAAUAGGCUCCUGCAAGUGGUCAUAGAAAACUGUCAGUGCAUUUGGUAGGGUUGAUUGUAUCAGCUGAUUUCCAUUAGAACCAUUUUGGUUUUGCUUAUAAUCAACCCUCAGGAGAUUGGCAUGUUAACAUGGCAUCAUGGCUAUUGCAUAGAAGCUUCC